ensembl:lncRNA
UGCAGAACAAGAAAUGUUACAGGGAUUGUGCUCCACCUUUCUCCUUCCUGCUGGGAUAUCCUUUCUGUAGAGAAAUGUAAAGUAUGUAAUAUUCAAGUAAGAAUGUUGUAUUAUUCUUUAUCUCAGUCAUUUUCUGUUAUCUACAGCAUAUCAAGCUGAGUCUACGCUGGUUGCAGAAGUACGCCACUAUUUUCGUAUUUUUAUGACAUAUGAGUUACUCAGCCAAAGAAAUUACCUUGAAAGUCCAACACUAAGUUCCGUGAAUAUUCCAUGAAUAUCAGCUCUUGGAAAGAAAACAGUGAUAGAUCAGGAGGAUGCAUUACUGGACUUAACAAGCCAUGGACACCCAUGAAUACACGUGAUGAAAAUUGAGAGGAUGCAGGCAGAGAGACACAGAGAGAUGGAGAGAGAUGGAAGGAAAGAGUGCUGCUGCUAUCGGAGCCUUCUCUGCAUUUCCCCUUCUUCAAGAGAUUAUCCUUGCAGAGCCCUGCAGGAUCCUGGGGACUAGGGACAGGAAGGGACUCUGAAACCCUGCCUGAAAUAGAAAACAGCACAAGAUGCUGCUAUUCCACAAAGUCCCAGGAAGAGUGGGAAAAAGAGAGGAAAAAAAACAUUAAUGUAGGAAGUAAAUCUGCUCAGCGUUUUAUCCCAACAUCCUGUCCUCCUGCUGCUUUUUAUAUGACCUUUUGCACUGCACAGAAUUCAUUACUAUUGUAAAAAACACGGUUUUGUUUCUUAGAAAAUUUCAAGAAAUGUGUGAUCUGUUUUAAAGUAGACAGGAUUCACAAGUGGCAAAAAUAUGUGUUCUUCCAAAUCCUUUUCCUUCAUUAUCAGCUCCAGAAGUUUGCUAAUUAGACCCACUAAACAAAAACACCUCAGCAAUAACACAGUGCAGAAGGAACGGAGAAAACUUCAUAACUGCAAUUUUAUUUAUUAUUUCACUGCAGGACAGCACAGGAACCUUAACCAGGUCAAGACUUCAUUGUGUCAGGUGCUGUACACACAAAAAAAUAGCAGUUCCUGCUCCAGGAAACGUGAAAUUUUUGCAUGUAUUUAUAGCCAAGCUUGUGGCCCCAUGGUAACUCAUUUAGUGAUUACCUCCACAAAUGCUAGUGAAGGCACCCAGAAACAUAUUUUGCAGGGUACAAACAUCUGUGGUUUCCCUGAGGCUGAAGCCCAGUGUACUUUCCCUGCCACAGAAGGGUAAUAGGGCCUUAGAGUAAAUGGAGUGGAAUAAGGACCAAAACACUUUGUGUUCUUUAAAUGAAAGGCACUUUAUACACACACGUAUGUUUACUGAAAGGCCUUUCAAAGAGGCAUAAUUAUGCAGGCAUCUCUGUGUAAUUCGCCUGGGUCAAUGCUAAUGUUGGAAAGUACUUAUUCUGUGGGUCAGACGAAUUACUGCAGUGCUCAGCCCCUGGCCUAUGUGUAUGUAAUAAAUCACUCUGCAGAAGAACUCGACUAACCUGUAUCUGUCUUAGCUUUUUUAAUUGCAGACCACAAACACUGAUAGAACCUAAAAUGUUUGCUCAGUCUAGACUGAGUGGGGAAAUGGAAGCUCACGCUGCGUCUUCUCUUCAGGGAUUACC